AUGCAUGCCUUCGAUACUACUGAAGUUCAAGCACGCUUUCAUGGUGUUCCCGAACUUGGUGCGGUCAUCGAGCGAGCAUCCGGCCUCCAUCCAAUGCCUGGGGCACUGAAUGCUCGCUCGAUGACCGCACCAAGUUCGGGAACAUCAUGGAAGUGCUUGAACUUCAGCAGCAUUGUAGACAUGCACAAGGGGGCAGACACUAUGGUGAAGAAGGCGACGAUGGAGGAGUUGAAGACGUUGAUUCCUGACCUAGCGAAGGGCGCUAUGUCAGCCAACAGCCCAACAUAUUCGCUGGGCCAUGAAUCAGGCCGACUCCGGCGAGCGUAG
rnacentral:rRNA from 1 species